UGCCAGUUUUGUGAGUCACCAUUGUGUAUGGUUCAACCUGGUACCUGUCAGUUAUCCAGUCUCGUGUGCCGAUGUCACUGUCACCGUGAGGCGUGGUUCUCAUUCCUGAAUCUGGACGAAUUGGCUGGAAGCUCAGGAAGGAGGUUUCUCUUCAGGAAAGAAAUGGAAGAAUAUAAGGUG